UUCAUAGAUACAUCGGCACCAUUCGGGUGUUAUCGUUGUUCCGAGUUUUGCCGAUAGGAAAGGAUUAUUCACUACAUCUAUAAUAUCGUAUUUAAA